rnacentral:sRNA from 1 species
CGUUUAAUACAACUAGCCCCGAAAAAAA